rnacentral:lncRNA from 10 species
AAACACCCAAGAAUUAUCAAUAAAAAAAUAAAUUAAAAAAAAAAAUAAAUAAAUAAAUCCAGCAAAAAUAAAAAUAAAAAAUAAAAUCCCCUUGAAUACAUUUGAGGUAAUGUUGUAGUUUUCAGCUCCUCCCACGAGAGAUUUUAUGGAGUGCCUAACUGUGCUACCCGGGUGCUGCUCCUGUCGUUAGUGGUGGCACCCAGGAGGAAUUAAAAUUACAAGAGUGUUUCCUUCCAGAUGUUGUUGCUACAGGCUCAAGGUGCUCUUUUAACUGGGACAUCAGGCUUUCUUGAAAUAGACAAGAAUUCUAGAAACAUGACAUUGUGCCUGAUUCAUCGCUUCAACUUGCCACUGACUCAUUCUCUCCUUGAUAGGUUAUUCAACAGUAACUUUAAUUACAUCAUUUACUUAUUGUUUUCUUCCUUGAUUUAUUCUCUUUCUACAAUUCUUGUUUAUCAUCUCAGUGAUUGGACCAUCUCACCUCUGAGACUUGGGUAGAAUUCUGUGGACUCUGGAAAUAGACAUGGAGGUUUUCAUGUAUCUCUGUUAAUGUGUACAAACACCCCCAGGCUUGUACACUUGAAAUACAUCAGUAGGAAGGGUAGUUCUCAAUUUGCUAGUGUUUCACACAGCUUGUCUUAUUUAAUGAUCUCAGCUGCCCUAUGAAGUAGAUACCAUCCUAUUAAAAAAUGCAGGAGCAGAGGCUCUGAGAGGGGACUGUAACUUACCCAAGAUCAUGUGGUAGAUUGCAAAACUGGUUCCAAAUCCCUACCCUUCCCUGUACGCACACCUUUUGCCAUUCAUCUGCAAUGUCCUUUUCUGAUUCUGGGCUCAGCAAUAUAACUUGCUCUGGCCAACAGGAUAACAACAGCAAAUGUGAUGUAAGCAAAAGCUUGAGAAAUACUUGUGCAACUAAUCAUGUUUGCCUUCUCUCUUGUACCUGUGCCAUUGCCAUGAGAACAUGCCUGGGCUAGGAUUAGAGACACUUGGAGCAGAGCUGAGUCAUCCCAGCUGUCCCAGUUGAGGCCAGCCUAGGUCAGUCGAUGGCAACCAAGCCCUAAGCAUGUUAGUGAGCCCAGCCAUGAUCAGCACAACCACCUAGCCAACCAUCCCAGACCUGUGAUCAAUAAAGCCUUACUAUUCCAUACCACCUAGGUUUUGUGAUUAUUUAUUUCACAGAAUUAUUAUGGCAGUAUGUAACUGAUAGAAGCGGUGUACAGGGAAGAGUAUUUGUUAGUCCGUUUUCACACUGCUGAUAAAGACAUAUGCGAGACUGAGCAAUUUACAAAAGAAAGAGGUUUAAUGGACUUACAGUUCCACGUGGCUGGGGAAGCCUCACAAUUGUGGUGAAAGGUGAAAGUCACAUCUCACAUGGCAGCAGACAAGAGAAGAAGAGCUUGUGCAGGGAAACUCCCCUUUUAAAAACCAUCAGAUCUCAUGAUACUUAUUCACUAUCAUCAGAAUAGCCUGGGAAAGACCUGUCCCCAUGAUUCAGUUACUUCCCACCGUGUCACUCCCACAACAAGUGGGAAUUCAAGAUGAGAUUUGGGUAGGGACACAGCAAAACCAUAUUAGAGCAGAUCUCUGGAAUUGGGCAGGCCAAGGUUUGAAUCCCAUCUGUUAUUUGGAGUGUGUGUUUCUUUUUGAGACUAAUCUCCUUACCCUUGAAAUGAGGUAAUAUACUUCCCUCAUAGGGUUGCUGGGAAGAUUAAACACGAGGUGAAGUAAAUAAAGCCCCAGGGACAUAAGCAAAAAAUAAUGGCUUCUCACAGCAAUGCUCCAGAACAUACAACAAGGGAAUACUGGGCCCAGUCCCAGGACUAUCCAAGUGUGAAGCCAACACCUUUUCACAUCAACUCCAAGGUAAGGAUUAAGAACAGAAUGGCCUGGUUCUAAUCUUACCAUGAAAUGCUGCUCCCCUGAAUCUUCCAUUGCAGUAUAGAGAGCAGGACAGGCCUUUAAAAAAUUAAUGUUGCUUAAAUUUAGGAGCCUGAAAAAAAAGCCAAAUCCAAGAUUUUCCUUUGGACUUGUGGUUUUGCCAGAUAGGUGGCAGUGAUUUCGGGAAGGAGGGUUGCUUUUGUCCUGGGUAUGGGUGUGUUUCAAAGUCCUCCGGGCACAGUUGGGAGCAGGGGCCAGCCUGGCUGCGUUUGCCCUGACUCUGUUGGUUGCCCCUCUGCAUGCACAUGCAUUUUUGAUGACAGAUCAUUCAGGAAAUGUGAAUGUUUCCCUGGGAGGCUUUGCUUUUUUCACCUGGCCUUCUUUUCUGGGCCUCCUGUGGGGCUGCCCUUUCCCUUCCUUUGAAGCCAUUGUCUUCUUGACAUGAAAAAUGUACUCAGGUACGCUUAUGGCUAAUUAUCUCAAGGGGGAAGAAAAAACAAAAUGAACUCAAGGCUGAAAUAUAGAACCAUUAACUCUGUAAACUCUGAAAAGUCAUAAGACACUUUUUUAAAAUUAAAAAAAUACAUAUACAUUUGAAAUAGUUUCUUCUUAAACAGAUAAACAGAAUUAACUUGGGAUGUUUCCUACACAAUUUAGCUUCCUUCUCUCUCCCUCCACUCCCACCCCAGAUAGCUCACUUCCCUUUAUCAUCUCUGAUGCUGAUGAUGGGUGACAACAGUUAGCUGCACUGUACUCUGCCUCUAACUUAUUUUAUGACCUUGGAUAAGUUACAUGGCAUUUCUGAGCUUCUGCUUCUCAUAAGUAAGAUGACAUUGCUAUUACAUUUCUUUAAAACUUUUUUUAGUACUGUAAAACAAUAAUUUAUUACCUCUUGCAGUUCCAUGGGCUGACUGGACUCCACUGGGAGUUCUUGAUGUCUCUCGUGUGGUUGUGUGAGAUAGUGGCUGGGACUGGACUCAUCUGAAGGCUUGACUGGGCUGGAUGCCCAAGAUAGCCCACUUUUAGACAGAGGUGGCUGGCAGUUGAUGCUGACUGUCAGCUGGGGACUCAGCUGAGAGUGUUAACUGGAGUCCCUAGACGUGGCUUCUCCACAUGGCUUGGGCUUCUCAUGGAAGGGCACCUGGAUUCUGAGAGAGAGCAUCCCAAGAGACACAAGUGGAAAUGAUAAGGCUUCUUAUGACGUAGACUGGAGGUACUGAGACAUCACUUUUGCUACAUUAGAAGGUUAGAUGCUGACAUUUUAUGAUUUCACAACUUGGAUCCUCUGUCCUCUGAUACUGAAUCAGAUAGUAGUUUAUGGAGCUGAGCAGAGAGCCAGCUGGUCCUGGGCACAGAGGAGGCUGUGUUCCAUGCUGAAGACAAGAACAUAUGGUGGACGUACCAUCCUAACUAUCUGGGAAGGGAGCUUCGUGGCUACAUGGGAGUUAUCAUCUGCCAGUGCCGGCUGCAUCCUGGCUGUGCCCACCUCUGGACUCUGAAUCUCUGCACCUCAGUACCCCCAACCCCAACACGACUGUGAUGUUAGGCAUAUAUUAGGCAUGUGAAGAUGAGAAAGAGAAGAUACAGCUCCCAUGUUUAUCUCCAUGAGAAGAUAAGCCACAGGGAGAGAGAAAGACUGUUGUGCACGAGAGGGAGUGUCAAAUGCCAAAUGGAUGUCAGCAGUCGGGGUGUGCUAGAGGCACUCAGGGGAAGGGAGGCUGGGCAUAGAGGGUCAUGCUGGAGGAGGUGACUCUGGAUCUGAAUCUUGAAAGGUCCUGUUGUGCCCAACUCAUGAUUUAUCCAGGUCACACCAGUCUGGUCUGUCACAGUAAGAGGGCACCAUCACAUACACUAUAAUAUGAAUCAUGACCCCCGGAGUUGUGUGGAGUUUCUGCAUCUCUCCCUCCCCACUGUGGCUACCCUCAUCCAGCAACCAUCCUGUCUCUCACCGGUAUUACCGCAGCUGAGACCCAGGUCUUAAGGAAGCUGAGACCCAGGCCAGCAGGGGCCUCACAGCUUGGAAAAAGAGGAGGGUGUAAGACUCUGGAUGAAGCUGAGAGAUCCUUCCAUGCUUGGCUGAGAGACUACACAGACAUGAGCUUCAGGAGACUCCAAAGCCUCGGAUCCCCUUCUAAACUAGCACUGAAUUCUGAUUGGCUGUCUUUGCCUGCCUCAGUUUGUUCCUUUUACUGAUUGGCUAGGUUCUUCUGCCCAUGGCAGAGCCCUGCUCCAGCCACCGGAUCCUCCCACCUGCCACAGUGUCACCUGGGAUUGGCUGGGCUCUGAAAGGCCAGGCUGGCUUGACUCUUGCCAUCAUCAGAUUCUUCCUCAUUAAACAAAUGAAUCACAAUCCUAAUUAAUUUGAGCAACAGAAUUUAUGUAACUACUCCCAGCAGGAUGUCUGCUCUCAGUCAGCAGAGAGAUUACUUCCUCUCUCUGGGAAAUUCCAGCCUUGCUGGUCAAUAAGCCUUAAUGAUGACUGAAAUCUCCCAUCUGUCUCUGCUCAGGGCAGGUAACCCCUACUAAGCAGACACCCAGUUGGCUCGAGGCAGUACCCCGGGCACCGGCAGGACAAGGACAACGAUCUCCCAGCCUAGAUGUGUCCUGAGCCACAUGGAGCACACAGAUUACAGGAUCUGACUCCCAUUUGGGCCUUCCACCUCCGCUGGCCUAAGCAGUCAAGUGUCAGAGAGCACUGGACCUAACAGCUCCCUCACCAGAGCAGCUGUGAUUCCUUCUUCAUUUCCAGCAGGGAAGACCCAACAACUUUUAUAAUAUGGGAUUUCUUUUAUUCUCAUGAUAAUAAUGUUCAUUGUGGAAAAUAAAAAAAAAUGAUAAAAUAAAAAUCAGCCAGAAUUCCAACUUCUGGAGAUUUUGGUGUCUUUCUGCAAAGUUCCUAUGCACAUAGAUACUUUAUAAAAUUAUGAACAUACUGUACAUACAGUUUUGGAAUAUGCCUUUUUCCUUCUGUCAUGAAAAAGUCUUCAAAUGCCUUUUAACAGCUACACAAUAGUUCACUACAUGAACCAACUCAAAUGUAACUAUUUUUGGCCUUUUGUUAUAAAUAACACAAGAACCCUCAGUCUUUGUUACAUAAUGUCCUAACAGAGUAGGGGAAAUGCUCCCCAAUCCGGUGCAAUGUCCUGUGCCCAGGGAAACCAAUU